rnacentral:rRNA from 1 species
CGUAAAGCGCAUGCAGGUGGUUUGUUAAGUCAGAUGUGAAAGACCCGGGGCGUCAACCUCGGAAUUGCAUUUGUAAACUGGCAAACUAGAGUACUGUAGAGGGGGGUAGGAAUUUCAGGUGUAGCGGUGAAAUGCGUAGAGAUCUGAAGGAAUACCGGUGGCGAAGGCGGCCCCCUCGGACAGAUACUGACACUCAGAUGCGAAAGCGUGGGGAGCAAACAGGAUUAGAUACCCUGGUAG